CGCUAUACGAGUAUGUGGAAUCAUCAUAGUUUUUGAGUAAUUGAGUAAUAAUAGUGAAAAUUUUAUUUGUUUUAUAUAAUUAUAUGAGCGUGUGUUAUAAAUAAUUAAUAUUAUUUAUCAAAAUACUCUAAAAUUAAGUAAUAAUAGUGGAAAUUUUAUGUGUUCUAUAUAAUUAUAUGUGCGUGUGUGUUAUAAAUAUUGCAGCAACAUAUUGAAAGGGGGGCAGAUAUAAACGAUGCUUAUCCAGCAGCCAUGCCUAAUUUUGUAUCAAAUGCUGUGUUUGAAAGAGAAUUAACAAAGAAGAAAUGCUCUCCACUAUGUUUGUUGGAGGAGCUUCAACUUAUGGAGGCUAUUCUUCUGAGCAAAGAUAUCAAAAUACAAUUGUCAUCAGAGUCGAGCUAUGAAAAUCCAUUUUUGAUGAUGGUUUGGACAAAGAAUUUUGCUAGGGACGAGGAAAGGGCAAAAAUAAAUUUUGUGAUCUAGUGCCUUGCGAUGUCAUCACAGGAAUUGCUUUGAAAAAUUUGCCGCAUGAGUCAUAGUUUACUGUUUCAGAGGCUGCAAAAAGCUGGCUGCGACGUGCCAAUAAAUAUUAUACAAGGAGAGAAAAUCAACCAUGAACUAGGAUUGAAUGCCGAAUUAAUUAUAU